GACGAACGCUGGCGGCGUGCUUAACACAUGCCAGUCGAACGGAAAGGCCCUGCUUGCCGGGUACUCGAGUGGCGAACGGGUGAGUAACACGUGGGUGAUCUGCCCUGCACUUCGGGAUAAGCCUGGGAAACUGGGUCUAAUACCGGAUAGGAGCCAUUUUUAGUGUGAUGGUUGGAAAGUUUUUUCGGUGUAGGAUGAGCUCGCGGCCUAUCAGCUUGUUGGUGGGGUAAUGGCCUACCAAGGCGGCGACGGGUAGCCGGCCUGAGAGGGUGGACGGCCACAUUGGGACUGAGAUACGGCCCAGACUCCUACGGGAGGCAGCAGUGGGGAAUAUUGCACAAUGGGCGCAAGCCUGAUGCAGCGACGCCGCGUGGGGGAUGACGGCCUUCGGGUUGUAAACUCCUUUCGCUAGGGACGAAGCUUUUUGUGACGGUACCUAGAUAAGAAGCACCGGCUAACUACGUG
rnacentral:rRNA from 1 species